rnacentral:rRNA from 1 species
GGUUAAGCGACUAAGCGUACACGGUGGAUGCCCUGGCAGUCAGAGGCGAUGAAGGACGUGCUAAUCUGCGAAAAGCGUCGGUAAGGUGAUAUGAACCGUUAUAGCCGGCGAUGUCCGAAUGGGGAAACCCAGUGCAAUUCGUUGCACUAUCGUUAACUGAAUACAUAGGUUAACGAGGCGAACCGGGGGAACUGAAACAUCUAAGUACCCCGAGGAAAAGAAAUCAACCGAGAUUCCCCCAGUAGCGGCGAGCGAACGGGGAGCAGCCCAGAGUCUGAAUCAGCUUGUGUGUUAGUGGAACGGUCUGGAAAGUCCGACGGUACAGGGUGAUAGUCCCGUACACCAAAAUGCACAGGCUGUGAACUCGAAGAGUAGGGCGGGACACGUGGUAUCCUGUCUGAAUAUGGGGGGACCAUCCUCCAAGGCUAAAUACUCCUGACUGACCGAUAGUGAACCAGUACCGUGAGGGAAAGGCGAAAAGAACCCCGGCGAGGGGAGUGAAAAAGAACCUGAAACCGUGUACGUACAAGCAGUGGGAGCACCUUCGGGUGUGACUGCGUACCUUUUGUAUAAUGGGUCAGCGACUUAUAUUCUGUAGCAAGGUUAACCGUAUAGGGGAGCCGCAGGGAAACCGAGUCUUAACUGGGCGUUAAGUUGCAGGGUAUAGACCCGAAACCCGGUGAUCUAGCCAUGGGCAGGUUGAAGGUUGGGUAACACUAACUGGAGGACCGAACCGACUAAUGUUGAAAAAUUAGCGGAUGACUUGUGGCUGGGGGUGAAAGGCCAAUCAAACCGGGAGAUAGCUGGUUCUCCCCGAAAGCUAUUUAGGUAGCGCCUCGUGAACUCAUCUUCGGGGGUAGAGCACUGUUUCGGCUAGGGGGUCAUCCCGACUUACCAACCCGAUGCAAACUACGAAUACCGAAGAAUGUUAUCACGGGAGACACACGGCGGGUGCUAACGUCCGUCGUGAAGAGGGAAACAACCCAGACCGCCAGCUAAGGUCCCAAAGUCAUGGUUAAGUGGGAAACGAUGUGGGAAGGCACAGACAGCCAGGAUGUUGGCUUAGAAGCAGCCAUCAUUUAAAGAAAGCGUAAUAGCUCACUGGUCGAGUCGGCCUGCGCGGAAGAUGUAACGGGGCUAAACCAUGCACCGAAGCUGCGGCAGCGACACUAUGUGUUGUUGGGUAGGGGAGCGUUCUGUAAGCCUGCGAAGGUGUGCUGUGAGGCAUGCUGGAGGUAUCAGAAGUGCGAAUGCUGACAUAAGUAACGAUAAAGCGGGUGAAAAGCCCGCUCGCCGGAAGACCAAGGGUUCCUGUCCAACGUUAAUCGGGGCAGGGUGAGUCGACCCCUAAGGCGAGGCCGAAAGGCGUAGUCGAUGGGAAACAGGUUAAUAUUCCUGUACUUGGUGUUACUGCGAAGGGGGGACGGAGAAGGCUAUGUUAGCCGGGCGACGGUUGUCCCGGUUUAAGCAUGUAGGCUGGUUGUCCAGGCAAAUCCGGAUAAUCAAGGCUGAGGUGUGAUGACGAGGCACUACGGUGCUGAAGUAACAAAUGCCCUGCUUCCAGGAAAAGCCUCUAAGCAUCAGGUAACAUCAAAUCGUACCCCAAACCGACACAGGUGGUCAGGUAGAGAAUACCAAGGCGCUUGAGAGAACUCGGGUGAAGGAACUAGGCAAAAUGGUGCCGUAACUUCGGGAGAAGGCACGCUGGUGUGUAGGUGAAGCCCCUGCGGGUGGAGCUGAGACCAGUCGAAGAUACCAGCUGGCUGCAACUGUUUAUUAAAAACACAGCACUGUGCAAACACGAAAGUGGACGUAUACGGUGUGACGCCUGCCCGGUGCCGGAAGGUUAAUUGAUGGGGUUAUCCGUAAGGAGAAGCUCUUGAUCGAAGCCCCGGUAAACGGCGGCCGUAACUAUAACGGUCCUAAGGUAGCGAAAUUCCUUGUCGGGUAAGUUCCGACCUGCACGAAUGGCGUAAUGAUGGCCAGGCUGUCUCCACCCGAGACUCAGUGAAAUUGAACUCGCUGUGAAGAUGCAGUGUACCCGCGGCAAGACGGAAAGACCCCGUGAACCUUUACUAUAGCUUGACACUGAACAUUGAGCCUUGAUGUGUAGGAUAGGUGGGAGGCUUUGAAGCGUGGACGCCAGUCUGCGUGGAGCCAACCUUGAAAUACCACCCUUUAAUGUUUGAUGUUCUAACGUUGGCCCCUUACCGGGGUUGCGGACAGUGUCUGGUGGGUAGUUUGACUGGGGCGGUCUCCUCCCAAAGCGUAACGGAGGAGCACGAAGGUUAGCUAAUCCUGGUCGGACAUCAGGAGGUUAGUGCAAUGGCAUAAGCUAGCUUGACUGCGAGCGUGACGGCGCGAGCAGGUGCGAAAGCAGGUCAUAGUGAUCCGGUGGUUCUGAAUGGAAGGGCCAUCGCUCAACGGAUAAAAGGUACUCCGGGGAUAACAGGCUGAUACCGCCCAAGAGUUCAUAUCGACGGCGGUGUUUGGCACCUCGAUGUCGGCUCAUCACAUCCUGGGGCUGAAGUAGGUCCCAAGGGUAUGGCUGUUCGCCAUUUAAAGUGGUACGCGAGCUGGGUUUAGAACGUCGUGAGACAGUUCGGUCCCUAUCUGCCGUGGGCGCUGGAGAAUUGAGGGGGGCUGCUCCUAGUACGAGAGGACCGGAGUGGACGCAUCACUGGUGUUCGGGUUGUCAUGCCAAUGGCACUGCCCGGUAGCUAAAUGCGGAAGAGAUAAGUGCUGAAAGCAUCUAAGCACGAAACUUGCCCCGAGAUGAGUUCUCCCUGAGACUUUAAGUCUCCUGAAGGAACGUUAAAGACGAUGACGUUGAUAGGCCGGGUGUGUAAGCGCAGCGAUGCGUUGAGCUAACCGGUACUAAUGAACCGUGAGGCUUAACCUU